GCAAGAUUUUCCAUCGGCAAGUAGCUGGAAACCUUCGCGGCACUCGCAUCGGUAAGACGAACCUCCAGUUGGUACACAAACGUGAGCGCAUAAUUCUCCUGGGAAGCGGGCGCAGAGAUCUUCGUCGUCCUCUACAGUUGGGUUCGUCGAUCGGGAAUUUGGGUAGCGCUGGAGUUGGUGGAGGUGGAAGAAAUGGUGGAAUUUGACUUCUGGACGUGGUGCUCGGGAUGCGUGGAUUGGGGAACGAGUUAUCUGGGAAUACCUGUUGGAAAUAGGAUUCGAUGUCGCAAAGAACGAAUGGUGCACGAAAAAAUCAAAGCAUUAGACCUGAGGCAGAGUUUGCUGGCAACACGAACGGUAAGCGUCGUCCCAAGGAGCGCCAAACUGGAAAGCUCUGAAGGAACAGGAGGGAAAAUAAAGCUACUCACUUUAUGGGCUUCGCCGCCAAGAUCUCGGUUGACCGAACAUUCCCGAUCCGCUCUGGCCGACUGUUUGCCCAGCUCACACUGUCGCUCCCUAAAAGUCGCCAGUUGGCGAGCCGUAAAAGCAUAGCAGGGCGAGUAUACCCCACCCUCUUCGUCUAUCACCAAGCAUGUCGGUCAAACAAAAAAGAUGCACUUGUAUGUAGGUCAGGACAUGUGCUGUCAAAUUAUUCGAGAAACCAUGCAGACUGGAGUUUGACCAGCCGGCAGGGCCACGUUGGUGGUCAGACAACGGUGAGCUCAUGUAGUAUUGUAUUAGACAUGAAAUCUAAGGUGUACGGAUCGUUUUCUGCUACAAACCUGUGUUUUCGAAGACAACAAAUGUGCACGGCCGAGAGACAGAUUGCUUGUUGCUCGUUACGGAUACCAACCACCUACGAAAAUGUUAAUUAAUUACGUAGCUUUUUUUAGUGCUUCAGGUACUUCAACAAAUCGAAAAUAAAAAAUGAACCGACCGGUGCGGGGAAGGCGGCACACUGCAGGUUUUCCACGCCCCAUUUGACACCGAGAUUGCAGCAAUGAGACAGCGGUUGUUCAAAGUCACCUACAACUAGUACGGCAAACAUUCCAUCACGUAAAAACAAUGAGAAAAAUGACACGACGUAUAACCUUAGCAGAAAAUUAUUGGACGGUGAGUAAAUGAUCAAAAACGCCUUUUCCUUUGGGAUAUACAUUUAUAGCUAACAGAUUGAUUUAAUGUAUAAUUAUUUUUCUUCUUCGAAUACUCUAUGCUGAUAUUUGUCAAGUUUGACUCUUGUUUCAAUGUAACCAAUGGGCUUUAAAACAGUUUUUAGAGCGCUAGGGCAUCAGCAGCAAUUGCUACACAGCUGGUUUUUGUUUACUUGAAGUUGAAAAACUCAUCUGAAAAUGCGGAAGCUUGUACGGAUGAAUGCCGACAAACAGGGCGACUACAGUAUACAGCAAUACUUUGUAUAUGUAUUUAGGACUCUGCCCAUGUGUACAGUCGGCUGAACAUUUAGUUUCUAUAGUCCUAUCACCCGCAGAAAGAUUGACAUGCUCCUCUUUUCCCUUCGUUUCUUUCUUUUUUCUUUUUCAAAAAUGUUUCUACUGAUAACAACAAACGGAGAAAACUAGAGGCUCCUUUUUUUUUGCCUUUUUGGGUGGUGGGCCAUGUCUUUACCAUUUCGAUUUUCGGCGGGUGUCAGCACCAACGUUAAGCGAUUCCCGACUAAUGAACUGGUGAAAGAAAUCAAAAGCCGUGGGCCGAGUGCUGACGGGCGCCACUUGACUUCAAGUGUAUUAUGGCUAUUGGUGAAUUUUUUUUUAAGUAAUCAACUAGGAAUUUUCCCAUCCAGCAUGAACAUAGAAUAUGCGGCCUCGAUUGAAGUGUAAUGGAAGGAUUUUUAUCUUGUCAAGAGUCAAUGCGUUCCAGACUGAAAUACGCUCUAUUGAAAAUCACAGCACGGCCAGCAGACCUUUGAGCCAGACUUACCGUAAACGUCUGUGAGAAAAAGAAGAGAAAGUCCAAUCAAGGGCAAUCUUGUAGUCCAGUGCCCCAUUCCUUGGUCAAUUUGUUUAGCCUCCUUUGAAUUUUGUAAUGGGAAGAAAUUUUUUUUUUGCUUA